AAGACUAUAGACCUGCGGAGUACCUGCGGAGGGAUCAUUAACAAAUCUGUAUGUGUUGUUGCGUUGCAAGACGUGACACCAUUUGCUCCAUGUGCAUGCUUUGUGCACAUUGUGACAUUUCUGCGAAUCAUCUGAUAUACCGAUAAAAACAUGAACAACUUUCAACAAUGGAUCUCU
rnacentral:misc_RNA from 1 species